rnacentral:misc_RNA from 1 species
CAAGUGCGGCAUUGCCUUGGCCGUGACCCCGGUUUCCUGUGUUGCGUACCUACACGAUGGCAUUCGUUUGUCCCAACGUCCCWCGUUCGUUUAGCGGUCCGCUUACCGGCGGGUCACGAGACGAAACUCGCAGCAUGGCCCGUUACCCGCGUCGCGUCUAUGCCGUCGCGGUGAACGGGGCAUCGCUCGAGCUCUCGGAUACGGAAAGCACUGAGGGCAUUGAGGUCUCGCGGCCUCUUAUCAUUGCCCGACCAUGCAUUAGACACCAACGGUGCACGACCGUCGCUCCCGUCUCGGCCCGGCCGUACGGUGACGACGUCGUUGAGGAAUGCUACCUGGUUGAUCCUGCCAGU